UACGUAGGGUGCGAGCGUUGUCCGGAAUUAUUGGGCGUAAAGAGCUCGUAGGCGGUGUGUCGCGUCGGCCGUGAAAACCUGGGGCUCAACUCUGGGCGUGCGGUCGAUACGGGCAUCACUUGAGUUCGGCAGGGGAGACUGGAAUUCCUGGUGUAGCGGUGAAAUGCGCAGAUAUCAGGGAGGAACACCGGUGGCGAAGGCGGGUCUCUGGGCCGAUACUG
rnacentral:rRNA from 1 species